rnacentral:rRNA from 1 species
AACGAACGCUGGCGGCAGGCCUAACACAUGCAAGUCGAACGAAGUCUUCGGACUUAGUGGCGCACGGGUGAGUAACACGUGGGAACAUACCUUUCGCUGGGGGAUAACAUCGGGAAACUGAUGCUAAUACCGCAUACGCCCUUCGGGGGAAAGAUUUAUCGGCGAAAGAUUGGCCCGCGUCCGAUUAGCUAGUUGGUGAGGUAAUGGCUCACCAAGGCUCCGAUCGGUAGCUGGUCUGAGAGGAUGACCAGCCACACUGGGACUGAGACACGGCCCAGACUCCUACGGGAGGCAGCAGUGGGGAAUAUUGGACAAUGGGGGCAACCUUGAUCCAGCCAUGCCGCGUGAGUGAUGAAGGCCUUAGGGUUGUAAAGCUCUUUCACCCACGACGAUGAUGACGGUAGUGGGAGAAGAAGCCCCGGCUAACUUCGUGCCAGCCGCCGCUGUAAAAC